AACGAACGCUGGCGGCAUGCCUAACACAUGCAAGUCGAACGAGACCUUCGGGUCUAGUGGCGCACGGGUGCGUAACGCGUGGGAACCUGCCCUUAGGUUCGGAAUAACUCCCCGAAAGGGGUGCUAAUACCGGAUAAUGUCUUCGGACCAAGGAUUUAUCGCCUUUGGAUGGGCCCGCGUUGGAUUAGCUAGUUGGUAGGGUAAAAGCCUACCAAGGCGACGAUCCAUAGCUGGUCUGAGAGGAUGAUCAGCCACACUGGGACUGAGACACGGCCCAGACUCCUACGGGAGGCAGCAGUGGGGAAUAUUGGACAAUGGGCGAAAGCCUGAUCCAGCAAUGCCGCGUGAGUGAUGAAGGCCUUAGGGUUGUAAAGCUCUUUUACCCGGGAUGAUAAUGACAGUACCGGGAGAAUAAGCUCCGGCUAACUCCGU
rnacentral:rRNA from 1 species